rnacentral:lncRNA from 1 species
AGGAGUUACCCACACCAAUUGUCGUCGACCUUGAGGCCCCCAAGUUAAUAAAACCCUGCACGGAAGACUCUAAAGGAACUGAGACCCUAAAGAAUCUAGUUCUGCAAUUCCUGCAAGAGUAAGUUCCCCUGAGACCUUAAGGAAGGGGAGGCCUGGGACAGUGUGGACUAC